GGGGCGGUAGCUCAGCGGUAGAGCGGCGGCUUUACACGCCGUUGGCCGGGGGUUCGAUUCCCUCCCGCCCCA
rnacentral:tRNA from 1 species